CCUACGUGCGGCAGCAGUGGGGGAUAUUGCACAAUGGGGGAAACCCUGAUGCAGCGACGCCGCGUGGGCGAAGAAGUAUUUCGGUGUGUAAAGCCCUGUCAGCAGGGAAGAAAAUGACGGUACCUGAAGACGAAGCCCCGGCUCACUACGUGCCAGCAGCCGCGGUAAUACGUAGGGGGGAAGCGUUAUCCGGAUUUACUGGGUGUAACGGGGGCGCCGACGGCGAUGCAAGCCAGGAGUGAAAGCCCGGGGCCCAACCCCGGGACUGCUCUUGAAACUGCGUGGCUGGAGUGCAGGAGGGGUAGGCGGAAUUCCUGGUGUAGCGGUGAAAUGCGUAGAUAUUAGGAGGAACACCAGUGGCGAAGGCGGCUUACUGGACUGUAAAUGACGCUGAGGCUCGAAAGCGUGGGGAGCAAACAGGAUUAGAUACCCCAGUAGUC
rnacentral:rRNA from 1 species